rnacentral:rRNA from 1 species
GACGAACGCUGGCGGCGUGCUUAACACAUGCAAGUCGAGCGGGGAUAUUGACUUCGGUUGAUAUUCUAGCGGCGGACGGGUGAGUAACGCGUGAACAAUCUGUCCCAGACAGGGGGAUAACAGAUGGAAACAUCUGCUAAUACCGCAUAAGACCACGACCUGGCAUCGGGUUGAGGUAAAAGGAGCAAUCCGGUUUGGGGUGAGUUCGCGUCCGAUUAGCUAGUUGGUGAGGUAACGGCCCACAAGGCGACGAUCGGUAGCCGACCUGAGAGGGUGAUCGGCCACAUUGGAACUGAGACACGGUCCAAAACUCCUACGGGAGGCAGCAGUGGGGAAUCUUCCGCAAUGGGCGCAAGCCUGACGGAGCAACGCCGCGUGAGUGAAGAAGGUUUCGGAUCGUAAAGCUCUGUUGAGAGGGACGAGAGAUAUAAUCAGGAAAUGGGUUAUAGAGGACGGUACCUUUCGAGGAAGCCACGGCUAACUACGUG